UAGGGAAUCUUCGGCAAUGGGGGCAACCCUGACCGAGCAACGCCGCGUGAGUGAAGAAGGUUUUCGGAUCGUAAAGCUCUGUUGUAAGUCAAGAACGAGUGUGAGAGUGGAAAGUUCACACUGUGACGGUAGCUUACCAGAAAGGGACGGCUAACUACGUGCCAGCAGCCGCGGUAAUACGUAGGUCCCGAGCGUUGUCCGGAUUUAUUGGGCGUAAAGCGAGCGCAGGCGGUUUGAUAAGUCUGAAGUUAAAGGCUGCGGCUCAACCAUAGUUCGCUUUGGAAACUGUCAAACUUGAGUGCAGAAGGGGAGAGUGGAAUUCCAUGUGUAGCGGUGAAAUGCGUAGAUAUAUGGAGGAACACCGGUGGCGAAAGCGGCUCUCUGGUCUGUAACUGACGCUGAGGCUCGAAAGCGUGGGGAGCGAACAGGAUUAGAUACCCUGGUAGUCCACGCCGUAAACGAUGAGUGCUAGGUGUUGGAUCCUUUCCGGGAUUCAGUGCCGCAGCUAACGCAUUAAGCACUCCGCCUGGGGAGUACGACCGCAAGGUUG
rnacentral:rRNA from 1 species